UAGUCCACGCCCUAAACGAUGUUCACUGGAUGUGUGAUAUUAAUUGCGCAUCUGAGCGAAAGCAUUAAGUGAACCACCUGGGGAGUACGUCGGCAACGAUGAAACUCAAAGGAAUUGACGGGGGCCUGCACAAGCGGUGGAGCAUGUGGUUUAAUUCGACGCAACGCGCAGAACCUUACCAGCUUUGACAUCCUGGUCGCGGAUUUGGGAGACCAUUUCCUUCAGUUCGGCUGGACCAGUGACAGGUGCUGCAUGGCUGUCGUCAGCUCGUGUCGUGAGAUGUUGGGUUAAGUCCCGCAACGAGCGCAACCCUCAUCCUUAGUUGCCAGCAUUUAGUUGGGCACUCUAAGGAAACUGCCGGUGAUAAGCCGGAGGAAGGUGGGGAUGACGUCAAGUCCUCAUGGCCCUUACAAGCUGGGGCUACACACGUGCUACAAUGGCGAUGACAGUGAGCAGCUAACCC
rnacentral:rRNA from 1 species